GCUUGGUGAUGAUGAACUCCUUGAAUUUGAUCUUAUGUGAGAAGCACUUUAUCUGCCCUUCCAUUCUAAAUGAAAGUUUUGCUGGAUAGAGCAAUCUUGGUUGUAGGUCUUUGGAUUUCAUGACUUGGAAUACCUCUUUCCAGCCCCUUCUUGCCUGUAAGGUCUCUUUUGAGAAAUCGGCUGACAGUCUAAUAGGAACUCCUUUGUAGGUGACUGUCCCCUUAGCUCUUGCUGCUUCUAGGAUUCUCUCCUUCAUUUUAAUCUUGGCUAAUGUAAUGAUGAUGUGCCUUGGUGUGUUUCUUGGGUCCAACUUCUUUGGGACUCUCUGGCUUCCUGGAUUUCCUGGAAGUCUAUUUCCUUUGCCAGAUUGGGGAAAUUCUCCUUUAUUAUUUGUUCAAAUAAGUUUUCCACUCAUGGCUGUUCCUCUUCCCCUUCUGGUACCCCUAUAAUUCGGAUGCUGGAGCGUUUAAAGAUGUCCUGGAGGUUCCUAAGACUCUCCUAAUUUUUUUGAAUUCUUGCUUCUUGACUCUUUUCUGUUUGGCCAUUAUUUGCUUUCUUCUGGUCCACUCCAUUGAUUUGAGUCCCAGUUUCCUUUUCAUCGCUAUUGGUGUCCUGUGCAAUUCCAUUCAUUUCAAUUAGUUUCGCCUUCAUAUGUUUCUCUAAUUUGUGGCUAUAAUCAGCCAGUUCUGUGAGGAUCCUGAUGAUCAGUGUUUUAAACUGUGCGUCUGAGAGUUUUGCUAUUUCUUCAUCGCUUAGAUUUAUAGGCUCUGGGGCUUUGAGAUCUUCUUGAGCCAUUUUUGGUCUGUUCUCGCCCGUUAAAUAUGAGGAGCGGAGCCUUGGACUCUCAGGUCGCUAUAUGUGGGGGUGCGGUCAGAGCGGGGAACUGGCGACCUCCUCUGCUGUUUCUCACAGCUGGGUGAGGAGCAGAGUCUUAGGUGGUUCACCAGGGUGGGGCCACUCCGGUCGCUGGGUUAUGAUGCUGUAUGUGGAGGCAGGGUCAGAGCGGGGAAAUGGCGACGCCCUCUGCUGCCGCUCGCCAUGGGGCCUGCUCAGUCCCGUAGUCUCACCGCCUGCUCCCUGGCUGUUUCCCCGUGGUCGCUCGCUGAGUCACUUACUAGGUCCAACCCUGUGCAUGGGUUCUGCACGCCCAAGUCCGUCUGACCGAGUUUUUCUGUGCAACCCCGCUCCGACAGCUGCUGGUUUCGCCCCUCUUACCGGUCAGGCUGAAGAAUUUGUUGUUAUCAGACUUCCGAAAAGUUCAAUUUUCUGUGUUCUGGCUGUGUUUUCUGUUGCUAAUAUUUAGUUGUCUCUAAACUUGGUUGUGAGAGAAGGCACAGCGUCUCCACCUAUGCCUCCAUCUUGGCGGAAGUCUAAAAAGAAUUUCUAUCCCUCUACGUCCUCUGGCACAUUAGAUAAGCCUAGCAUGUAAUAGGCUCUCAAAUAUUGUGAAUGAAUGUGUUAAGGAAAAGCGAGUUCCCCUGGAUGGUGUGGCUCCAUUGGUUGGAGGGUCAUCCUGUAAACUGAAGGGGGUUUGAUGUCAAGUCACCUCACGUGCCUGGGUUGUGGGUUCGGUCCCAGUCGUUUCUCUCUCACAUCGAGGUUUCUCACCUUCUCUCUCUUUCCCUUCCCCUCUCUCUAAAAUCAAUAAACAUGUCCUUGGGUGAAGAUUAAAAAAACGGGGGGGGGGCAGGAAACGGGUCACCCAGGGCACUUCUAAAAUAAACAUUUGGUCUCUUUUGCUCUGCAAGCCCAUCACACCCCUCCUCUUAUCCUAGUCAUCAGUCCUGAGAACUCUGAUAUCAAGAUCUGUGGAUCCCUCUCUCAGAUCACCAGGGGUCUGUGGGGUGAGAAUUCAGUACCCACCAACUGCUCAUACCCACAGUCAAACCAAUCACUGAGUCUUCAAGAAUAGAAUGGGAACUCACAGAUGUUAACAACCAAGAGACCAGAGGUUCACAGACUCCUGUGCGACAGCAUACCAGUGCAGCAGAUAGAAAUUCAGGUUCCCAGGCAUACCUUGCAUUUCUGGAGUGGGUGCAGAAAUGUGCAUUUUUAACGACCACAUUGUAUCAUCUUUUUAAAAAAGAGUUUAUUUAUUUAUUUUUAGAGAGAAGGAAUGGAGGGAGAAAGAGAAACAUCAAUGUGUGGUCACCUCUUAGGUGGCCCCCACUGGGGACCUGGCCAAAAACCCAGGCAUGUGCCCUGACUGGGAAUUGAGCCAGUGACCCCUUAGUUCACAGACCGCGCUCAAUCCACUGAGCUACAGCAGCCAGGGCCACAUUGUAUAAUCUUGAUUAAGGACCACACUUUGAAAAGCUAUUCAUGGCAUCCUGUGCACAUUAAACAGCUAGGCAAAUAGGUCCAGAGAGAGGAAAGGGUGUUCCUAAAACCACAUAAAGGGUGAUAAAGAUUAGAAUUCCAAAACCCAGUAUUUUUUUCUGCCAUAUCCCAUCCUCUUUGGGAUGUCAGAAAGUGAAAGUGGCUGUUCUUAGGGGCGUUGAAGUCUAGGGAGAACCUGCCAGGCUGGGUUCCAGCCCAGAGCGGAGGCACCUCCAUUAGGUUCCAGAAUAGUCGCAUCUAUACUUUGCUUGAUUAGAUGCCACAGAACUCAGGAAAAUAGGAAAGGGAAAGUCCAAGGCAUUGCAAGAGGAGAAUUCUGGUCCUCCCUCUGCCUUCCUUUGGGUCUCAGUGUCCCCAUCUCUCCAAUGGGGAGGUGAAGUCCUCCCCCAACAUUUGGAGGCCUUGAGGUCCAACUUGAAACUUGUUUAGAAACAGAACAAUCCAUACCACUUAUCUGGGACCAAAAAACACAUUUGAGUACCUAAUGCCUGGGAAAUAAGUAGAACAGGGCUUUCUAGUCCCACUAUUGAGAAGAAGCUGACACACGAGAAGGGACCAUAUCUGACGAAACGCCACACAGCGAGGCCCCAGCUCCUCUGACCGCCUAAUCUUAUCUGCUCUAAUUGUCUGAUACAUUCCUUAUACACGGGCCAAACUGAAAAACCACAGGUUCAGGAACACACCCUGCAUUACUCCCCACUGCCUGAAUUUCUGUCUCCUCUCAACUCUUGUCCCCAAAGCUUUUUUUUUUUUAAUAUUAAAUUUUAUUUAGUUACUUUUCAAGUACAUUUUUUAAAUCUAUUUCUCCCAUAGCUUAUUUUGUUUUAUUAAAGAUUUUAUUUAUUUUUUUAGAGAUAGUGGGAGGUAAGGAAGAGAGGGAGAGAAACAUUAAUGUGCAAGAGAAACAUUGAUCUGUUGCCCCUCGCACGACUCCAGCUCACAACCAAAGCAUGUGCCCUGACCAGGAAUCAAACUGGCAACCUUUCAGCUUGCAGGGAAGCACUCAAUUCACUGAGCUCAAUCUAAAUGCCCCUCUGGGCUCCACCCUCCAAGGAACCCAGCCUGACUCGUUUCUGUCCUGAUGGCGAUUGCAGUCUUUCUAGGCUUCGUUUGAUGUUGGAGUCCACAAAGGUGCUGAAAGACACCAUGUCUGGCUCAUCUCUGGCUGCAGGGUGGCUGCGGAAUCAUUCUUUCAGGGUAUCACAGCACAAGCCCUGCACAUGGGAGUUGCCAUUAAAUAGAAUGAUUCCACGGAUGGCCAUGAAAUACACUCAGCACACAGUUAUUAUCACCCAUGGGUCCAGACUGCAAAAUACAUUCCUUCCUUCAUACAUUCAGUAAAAGUACUACACAUCUGUUAAAAGAUUAUUAACCUAACCUAGGAGUUCUGUGUCCAGAAAAAUGCACAUGUGCUCAAUAUUUUGCCAAGAAUUUUAAGGGUUUACUGAUUCCCUUGAGCCCAUCUCUGGUCCCGUUAUUAAUCCCAAGGUAAGGACCUCUGGCUUCUGGUUAAGAAAUUAGUUUGGGCUCUGGCUGGUGUGGCUCAGUGGACUGAGUGCCAGCCUGCAAACCAGUCACCAGUUGGAUUCCCAGUCAGGUCACAUGCCUGGGUUGCAGGCCAGAUCCCCAGAAGGGGGCAUGUGAGAGGCACCCACACAUCACUAUUUCCCUCUCCCCUUCCCCUCUCUCUAAAAACAAAUAAAUAAAAUCUUUUCCUUCAAAAAAAAAAGAAGUUUUUUUGAACACUUGUUAUGUGCAAGUUAGGGACGUAUUCGAUCUAAAUAUGUUGAGUGCCCACAGUACUAAUGCUGGGGGAUAUGGGAUUCAUUUAUUAAUCCACCCAUUUACUCGGCUAAUGUUAUGAGGGUCUACAAUGUAACCAGACCCUGAGCUGGGCAUUGAGGACAGAAAUGGUGAACAAGGAACCCCAUGAGGCCCAUGCCCUUAAGUCCUCAUAGGCUAGCUGGACCAAACAGACAUGCUAUCCUCAAUCCUUGCCUCCACCCCACCAGACCCCAGCUCCCACCCCACAAGAAUGCAGGAUGUGCAGGAUGAAGGCCAAAAGUGGUACAGGCAGGGAAGACCGAGCUAACCACAGGGACCUUACCCCCAUCUCUUACCCCUCCAACUCCUUCCCCUGCUGCUGUUUGUGUGUUUGACUAAAGGGCAGGCAUUGCCGAACCUGCUGGGUGAGGCCCGUGAUUCAGAGGUGAUUCAGAUGUGCGAGCAGGUGGGCAGGAGGGCAGGCAGGCAGAGGCAGAGCUAGGACAAUGACUCUGACUGUGUGUGUGCGGCGACUGACAGGGCUGCCGGGCACCGAUGACUGACAAGUGAGGCUCAGCUUUCGGGGUGAGGCUUGCAGGGGUGCUCUAAGGACUUUUCAAACUAGGGGACUCUGGUUCCUACAUUCCCAAGGCCCCCGACCCUAUCCUUAGGUAUCUCUACAGCCUGUUCCCUUAUCCACCAGCCAAAUAUCUCCAAUUCUCUGCCUCCUUCUCUCCCCAUUAUCUACCUUUCUUUAAGGUGAGUCCAGGGGGGCUGGACUCUGGGCUGAGGAUUUUGAAGGGGAGGGUCAUGGGGAAGUACUGAUAAAGGCUAGAUUCAAUUCUGAGCAGGUUCCACCCAGAAAACAAGGAGAAUUCACUGUGGCCAAGAAGCAGAUAUUGGUGAGCUGUUCCGUUGGCCACACUCUGGGGCCCCACUGGCUGGAGAGUGUCUGUCGGUGCAGGUGGUUAACUGCAGCCGUGUGUUCAGCCCCAGGACUUGCCGGAGCAGCCUUACCUGCAGCCCCCACUCAGCAUCCUAGUAACUGAACGCCAGGCCUUUGGCCGCACAGUGCUCGUGGGUUCCCAUAUUGUCCCCCACAUGAUGCGAUUUACACUCCAGGGUCAGAAGGAUACCCCCAAGGAGGAAGGAGAAGAGGAGACAGGGGACGUCGUACCCAAGGAACUUGAAGGAAGGAAGCCCCUGGAUCCCUCAUUGGUUGAAGCAGGAAUGUCCAGACGGCUCCUGAAGGCCUUCCGGACCAAGGCCCAGAGCUGGAGGAGGACGUCCCAGAUCCUGAAGAGCUCGACUGGUGGUCCAGGACUACGCAUCGCUGCGGGAGCUCCAGGGGCAGUCCAAGUUCAACGAGGAUGAAAUGGAUGAUCCUGGGGAUUUAGAUGGGGUCAACCUCACUUCUGUGGAUGCGGAAGCCCAAGACCAGGGCAAGGCUGAAGUCAAAGGCUCCAUGUCCCUGAAAAAAGCAAUCGCCACUCUGAAGAUCUACAGUAGCUCCCUGAAGGAAGAGUUUAACUACUUUGAAGACUGGCUGACCAUGUUUCCCCGGUAUCGAGGGCAAGGGGGUCAGGAUGCAGAUGGAGAGGAAGAAGGGUCUGGUCACCUACUGAGCAAGUUUAAGGCUACCAAUAUGGCUCCCGCGGACCCCAGCGGCAAAGCAGAACCCUAUGUGGUGGUGAGCGCUGGCCGGGAGUAGCAGGACACCAAGGAGCACUACAUCCCCAAGCAGCUGAACCCCAUCUUUGGUGAGUGAGGCUGGGCCCGGGGUUUUGGAAACACCUUUGCCAUUUGGCCCUGUGGUCCAGCUCAUGCUCAGGCAGCUUAUGUGCUGGUGGUGGGGCAAUGGACAGAGGCUUCGGAGACCCCUGGAGCCCCUGCCCACAUAAGACCACCUCCUGGGGCACAGAGGUGUCCUCAGCCAUCCUCCCUGAUGGCCAGGGUCCUAGAGCUCAGCGUCUCUCUGCCUGCUGAGCCAGAGCUGACCGUGGCUGUGUUUGAUCAUGACCUUAUGGGUUCUGACGACCUCACCGGGGAGACCCACAUCGACCUGGAAAACCGGUUCUACAGCUACCACAGGGCAAACUGUGGGCUGGCCUCCCAGUAUGAUGAUGCGUGAGUCGGACAGAGCCCUCGGGAGCCAUUCUUCGUCUUAUGAAGACAUCCAGGAGCACGUUUCCAUUAGUGCCUCCAGAUCCCUUGAUUUCAUAGACGAGGGCCUCCCGUGACCAAGACAUUAGAGCUUAGUGGUCCAGACCUGGACUUGGGAAUUGGGAUCCUGUAACUGAUGAGUCACUUUUUCUCGCUAAGCCUCAGUCUCCUCAUCUGCAAAAUGGAGGGAGGGGUACAAUGCCUGGCGUGAUGCGGUCUGGCCUUCACAGAUCCUGGUGGGGCUGUGCCAGUGCUGGGGCCUGCCCACCCCUGAAUACCGAGCCGGAGCUGUCAAGGUAGUGGGGGCACCAAGGUGGCGAGUGAGGUCUCUGAGGAGGCCCAGGCAUUUCUUGUGCUGUGGCGCUGGCACGAGAUGCCAGGUCUUGGGAUUCAGCUGGUACCUGAGCAUGUAGAAACUCUGCCCCUCUACCAUCCCGCAGCCCGGGGCUGCUGCAGGUGAGGGAGGGCUCAGCACCCAACCCCAGAGCCCCAGGGCUCCAAGCUGGCCCUGGACCCUGGGUCCCCAAGAUGCCUAUUCCCCAAGACCUUCACCUGGGCACUACGUUGCUGCUUCUGAUUUUGGCCCCCGAUCGUGGUCCCCAGCAUCCCCACUCUAGUCUUGGACCUCCUACCCCCACCCUGGACUCUGGUCCUGCAGGAUUCCCACCCUUGGGCCACCAAGGCUCAUUCAUACUUGGCACUCCCAACCUGACCCCAGGUCUCUAGGAUCUGGACCUCAAAGGCACCAGACCUUACUUUGGCUCUUGACCUUCCACUCCUAGGGCCUCAUCCCUGAUCCCCUAACCUAACCUCAGCCUUGGAUCCUCCACUUCAGACCCCACCUUCAUCCUCAUCACCCAAGGUCUGCCCAGCCACUCUCUCUCG